rnacentral:rRNA from 1 species
AAUAUUGCACAAUGGGCGCAAGCCUGAUGCAGCCAUGCCGCGUGUAUGAAGAAGGACCUUCGGGGUUGUAAAGGUACUUUACAGCAGUGAGGAAGGUGGGUAUGGUUAAUAGCAUAUUCAUUUGACGUUAGCUGCAGAAGAAGCACCGGCUAACUCCGUGCCAGCAGCCGCGGUAAUACGGAGGGUGCGAGCGUUAAUCGGAAUUACUGGGCGUAAAAGCGCAUGCAGGUGGUUUGUUAAGUCAGAUGUGAAAGCCCGGGGCUCAACCUCGGAAUUGCAUUUGAAACUGGCAAACUAGAGUACUGUAGAGGGGGUAGAAGUUUCAGGUGUAGCGGUGAAAUGCGUAGAGAUCUGAAGGAAUACCGGUGGCGAAGGCGGCCCCCUGGACAGAUACUGACACUCAGAUGCGAAAGCGUGGGGAGCAAACAGGAUUAGAUACCCUGGUAG